rnacentral:rRNA from 1 species
CCUACGGGAGGCAGCAGUGAGGAAUAUUGGUCAAUGGGCGCGAGCCUGAACCAGCCAAGUAGCGUGAAGGAUGACUGCCCUACGGGUUGUAAACUUCUUUUAUAAAGGAAUAAAGUGAGGCACGUGGGCCUUUUUGUAUGGACUUUAUGAAUAAGGAUCGGCUAACUCCGUGCCAGCAGCCGCGGUAAUACGGAGGAUCCGAGCGUUAUCCGGAUUUAGUGGGUUUAAAGGGAGCGUAGAGGGGUUGUUAAGUCAGUUGUGAAAGGUUGCGGCUCCACCGGAAAAUUCCAAUUGAUACUGGCAGCCUUGAGUACAGUUGAGGUCGGCGGAAUUCGUGGUGUAGCGG